rnacentral:lncRNA from 10 species
GGAGAAUUGCUUGAACCAGGAAAGUGGAGGUUGCAGUGAGCCUAGAUCAUACCAUUGCACUCCAGCCCAGGCGAAGAAGCAAGACUCUGUCUCAGAAAAAAAAAAAAAAAAGGUGAAUGGAUAAAUCCGUUCAUGAAUUAAUGGGGUGAUGGAGUAAUGAGUUAUCAUGGGAGUGGAACUCAUGGCUAUAUAAAAAGAGGAAGAGAGAUCUGAGCUAGCAUGCUCAGCCCCCUCACCAUGUGAUCCUCUGUGCUACCUGAAGACUCUGCAGAGUCCCUAUCAGCAAGAAGACCCUCACCAGAUGCGGCUCCUCAACCUUCGACUUCUCAUUCCCCAUCACUGUAAGAAAUUAUUUUCCUUUAUGAAUUACCCAGUUUCAGGUAUUCUGUUACGAUACAAACAACGGAAAAUGGAUGAAGACAGGUAACCUUCUGCUCAUUAUAUCCAAAACUGAACACAUCCUCUUUCCACUCUGCACUCCACUCCCCCACCUCCCCAAAACAGAAGUCUUUUUCUGUAAUUUCCAUCUCACUUGCUGGUAUACCAACCACGAAGGCCUCCUUCUCCCUCAUCUCACACUCAGUUGAUCACCAGUUGCUGCUGAUUUCUUGACUGUCACCUCCAUCACAGCCCUGACUCACAUCCUCCUCAUCUCAUCUGGCCCAGUGGGACAGUUUCCCUGCCAUAUUCUUGUCCCCCCACCUGAAAUUUGUGCCCAAGAAGGUGGCUGGAUUAUCUUAAAACACAAAUCUGAUGACCUCUCUACUACUUACUGUUAACUGAUGGCUCUCCUCCUCUGAGACAUAAAUUCAACCUCCCUGAUACAGUCAAGAAGUCUUCUGAGGCAGGGCACAGUGGCUCACGCCUGUAAUCCCAGCACUUCGGGAGGCUGAGGUGGGCGGAUCACCUGAGGUCAGGAGUUUGAGACCUGGCCAACAUAAUGAAACCCUGUGUCUACCAAAAAUACAAACAUUAGCCAAGAGUGGCGGUGCACACCUGUAAUCCUAGCCACUGGAGAGGCUGAGGCCAGAGAAUCGCUUGAACCUGAGAGGAAGAAGUUGCAGUGAGCCGAGAUCAUGCCAUUGCACUCCAGGCUGGGUGACAGGAGCAAAACUCCCUCUUGGGGAAAAAAAAAAAAGGGGGAAGUCUCUGAGGCUGGGUGCAGUGGCUCAUGCCUGUAAUCCCAGCACUUUGGGAGGUCAAGGUGGGCGGAUCACCUGAGGUCAAGAAUUUAAGACCAGCCUGGCGCCACAACAUGGUGAAACCCCGUCUCUACUAAAAAUACAAAAACUAGCCAAGAGUGGUGGUGGCGUGCUCCUGUAAUCCCAGCUACUGGGGAGGUGGAGGCAUGAGAAUCACUUGAACCCAGGAGGUGGAGGUUGCAGUGAGCCAAGAUCACCC